AUGUUCGAGCUGGUGACCAGGAAAUGCCUGGGUUUCGAUUCCACAAAGUCCAGGGAGCUGAGAAGCAAGUUCGACACGCUUUUCUCAGGGCUCUUCUCCUUCCCUAUAUAUUUCCCUGGGACACCAUUUUACCGAUGCAUGCAGGCACGGAAAAAUAUUCACAAGACACUGCGGGAUACGUUGGCAGAGAGGUUAAGUGCACCAGGGAAGAAACAUGGCGACCUCCUCGACAUAAUCGUCGAGGAGCUGCAGGGUGAAGAGCCAUCAAUAAGUGAGGAUUUUGCUAUUGAUAUGCUCUCCACCUUGUUGUUCGCCAGCGUCUUCACGCUGUCAGGAACCAUCGCUGUAGCAUUCAAGUCACUCCAUGACAACCCGGACGUUGUCCACGCGCUCCAGAAGGAGAACCGAGCUAUGCUCAAUGGUCGAAAGGGUGGGCGCUCCGGGCUCACAUGGGAGGAGUACAAGUCAUUGACAUUCACUAAUCAGGUGACCAAUGAGAUCAUUCGAAUAAGCAAUGCCGCACUUGUAGUAUUUAGGAAAGCUCUUACAGAUGCACAAGUCAAUGGCUAUACAAUUCCUGCUGGAUGGCUGGUCAUAGUCAACCCCAUGGCAGUUCAUCUGAACGGAGAAUUGUUCGAAGAUCCACUCAAAUUUAACCCAUGGAGGUGGAUGAAAUCGAAAAACAUAGGAUGA
rnacentral:rRNA from 1 species